AAGUCGUAACAAGGUCUCCGUUGGUGAACCAGCGGAGGGAUCAUUACCGAGUACUAUAACUCAUAACCCUUUGUGAACCUUCAUACCUGUUGCUUCGGCGGCGCGCCUCUCGGGGCGUGCCCGCCGGCAUUAUCAGAAUCUCUGUUCGAACCCGACGAUACUUCUGAGUGUUCUAAGCGAACUGUAACGUCCCUACCAUAUUGGUGGAUCGUGAGUGCUUGCACUUGCGUGAAACCAGCAUAGUAGACAAUACCCCCAGAGUCUUUCAUAUCAAAGAUUUCUUUGAUAUGUCGGCUCGUUUUAUUCACCAAUUUUAACCUAUAAUGAAUGAAUUGUCUUAUCUUUAACUUCAUAUCGAGAGACUUCGGUUUCUUGUUUGAAUUUACGAAAUAAUGAACAACUCUUAGUAAUGGAUAUCUUGGGUCAA
rnacentral:misc_RNA from 1 species